UACGAAGGGGGCUAGCGUUGUUCGGAAUUACUGGGCGUAAAGCGCGUGUAGGCGGGUCUUUAAGUCAGGGGUGAAAUGCCAAGGCUCAACCUUGGAACUGCCUUUGAUACUGGAGACCUUGAGUCCGGGAGAGGUGAGUGGAAUUGCGAGUGUAGAGGUGAAAUUCGUAGAUAUUCGCAAGAACACCAGUGGCGAAGGCGGCUCACUGGACCGGUACUGACGCUGAUGCGCGAAAGCGUGGGGAGCAAACGGG
rnacentral:rRNA from 1 species